UACGUAGGAUGCAAGCGUUGUCCGGAUUUAUUGGGCGUAAAGAGUUCGUAGGCGGUUCGUUAAGUCUGAUGUUAAAGCUCGGGGCUCAACCCUGGGAGUGCAUUGGAUACUGGCGAACUGGAGUGCGGUAGAGGCUAGUGGAAUUCCCAGUGUAGCGGUGAAAUGCGUAGAUAUUGGGAAGAACACCAGUGGCGUAGGCGACUAGCUGGGCCGUAACUGACGCUGAGGAACGAAAGCCAGGGGAGCGAAUGGG
rnacentral:rRNA from 1 species